GACGAACGCUGGCGGCGUGCUUAACACAUGCAAGUCGAACGGAAAGGCCCUGCUUUUGUGGGGUGCUCGAGUGGCGAACGGGUGAGUAACACGUGAGUAACCUGCCCUUGACUUUGGGAUAACUUCAGGAAACUGGGGCUAAUACCGGAUAGGAGCUCCUGCUGCAUGGUGGGGGUUGGAAAGUUUCGGCGGUUGGGGAUGGACUCGCGGCUUAUCAGCUUGUUGGUGGGGUAGUGGCUUACCAAGGCUUUGACGGGUAGCCGGCCUGAGAGGGUGACCGGCCACAGUGGGACUGAGAUACGGCCCAGACUCCUACGGGAGGGAGGAGUGGGGAAUAGUGCACAAUGGGCGGAAGCCUGAUGCAGCAACGCCGCGUGCGGGAUGACGGCCUGCGGGUUGUAAACCGCUUUCGCCUGUGACGAAGCGUGAGUGACGGUAAUGGGUAAAGAAGCACCGGCUAACUACGUG
rnacentral:rRNA from 1 species